rnacentral:rRNA from 1 species
GAUGAACGCUGGCGGUAUGCUUAACACAUGCAAGUCGAACGGACUCUUCGGAGUUAGUGGCGGACGGGUGAGUAACGCGUGAGAAUCUGGCUUUGGGUUCGGGACAACCACUGGAAACGGUGGCUAAUACCGGAUGUGCCGAGAGGUAAAAGAGAAAUUGCCUGAAGAUGAGCUGGCGUCUGAUUAGCUAGUUGGUGAGGUAAAGGCUCACCAAGGCAGCGAUCAGUAGCUGGUCUGAGAGGAUGACCAGCCACACUGGGACUGAGACACGGCCCAGACACCUACUGGAGGAAGCAGUGGGGAAUUUUCCGCAAAUGGCGAAAGCCUGACGAAGGAAUACCGCGUGAGGGAAGAAGGCUCUUGGGUUGUAAAGCUGUUUUCUUAGGGAAGAACAAAAUGACGGUACCUAAGGAAUAAGCACCGGCUAACUCCGUG